rnacentral:rRNA from 1 species
CCCUUAGACGUUCUGGGCCGCGCGCGCGCUACACUGACCAGUGCAACAAGCAUCCGUCCUUGGCCGACAGGCUCGGGCAAUCUUUGAACGCUGGUCGUGAUGGGGAUAGACUUUUGCAAUUUUUGGUCUUCAACGAGGAAUUCCUAGUAAACGCAAGUCAUCAACUUGCAUUGAUUACGUCCCUGCCCUUUGUACACACCGCCCGUCGCACCUACCGAUUGAAUGGUCCGGUGAAGCCUCCGGAUUGGCGCGCACCUCGGUGCCGCCGAGAAGUUGGCUAAACCUUACCAUUUAGAGGAAGGUGAAGUCGUAACA